GACAUAGGUCGCAAACGUUAUCCGGAAUUAUUGGGCGUAAAGGAUGCGUAGAUGGUUCAAUAAGUUACUGGUGGGAAAUCGAGGCUCAACCUCGUGGAAGUCAGUAAUACUGUUGAACUUGAGUGCAGGAGAGGUUAACGGAACUUUAUGUGGAGCGGUAAAAUGCGUAGAUAUAUGAAAGAACAUCAAUAGGCGAAGGCAGUUAACUAUUCUGUUACUGACGCUGAGGCACGAAAGCGUGGGGAGCAAACAGG
rnacentral:rRNA from 1 species